CCCCGCCACGGAGGCCGACGACGAGCCCAACCGCGCCCGGGGCCACCGGGGCCACCGGGGCCACCGGGGCUGGUCCCCGUCGUCCGGGUUGGGCCAGGCCGGGGGCCGGGGGCCCGAGCCUGCGGGGCCCCGCCGCUGAUUGUCCAAACGCAAUUCUUGUGCGAGUUUGCGGCCAACCGAGAAUUGUGACUGGACAUCUGUGGCUGGGCUCCCGGCGCGACCGGAGGGCCAGGCGGGACGGGCACCGACCCACCGGCCGCAGCGACGCCUAGAACAGUGCUCCGCACGCAGUAAGCGCUCAAUAAAGACGACUGAUCGGGAGCGACGCUCUUGAGCCUCCGGGUCCGUCUCUGACCCACCCACCCGCAAAGGGGACGACUGCCAAAGACCAAGAAGUUGCCGGCCAGGAGGUCCUGGCGAGUUUGGAGUGGAGUCCAGCCCCCGGCCGGUCCGAGCGUGUGGAGGACAAAGCACCAGGCAAUAAAGAAAAAAACGCCAA